GAUGAACGCUGGCGGCGUGCCUAAUACAUGCAAGUCGAGCGAACAGACGAGGAGCUUGCUCCUCUGACGUUAGCGGCGGACGGGUGAGUAACACGUGGAUAACCUACCUAUAAGACUGGGAUAACUUCGGGAAACAGGAGCUACUACCGGCUAAUAUAUUGAACCGCAUGGUUCAAUAGUGAAAGACGGUUUUGCUGUCACUUAUAGAUGGAUCCGCGCCGCAUUAGCUAGUUGGUAAGGUAACGGCUUACCAAGGCAACGAUGCGUAGCCGACCUGAGAGGGUGAUCAGCCACACUGGAACUGAGACACGGUCCAGACUCCUACGGGAGGCAGCAGUAGGGAAUCUUCCGCAAUGGGCGAAAGCCUGACGGAGCAACGCCGCGUGAGUGAUGAAGGUCUUCGGAUCGUAAAACUCUGUUAUUAGGGAAGAACAAAUGUGUAAGUAACUCUGCACGUCUUGACGGUACCUAAUCAGAAAGCCCCGGCUAACUUCGUG
rnacentral:rRNA from 1 species